UGAAAAAGAGACAAGCACUUCUGAAGAUGACCUUCUCACAGCCUAAAAGUGCUCCCACAGAGCUGGAGUUUGAAGGAGUCGUAGAGGAGCUGAGGAAAGACAAGAAGAUGUACCAGAAAACAGCAAUGCUCUAUCUCAGCCCUUCCAGACGUUUCUUCAGACUCUGCUCCUGCGGGAGACUUUCACUGUCGACCUUCUCAAAGGCCUCUACAUCCUGGAGUCGAAAGCUGGUUUUCUAAGCAUCAGAGAGGUCAUCCACACCCUCACCAUCGGCUACCGAAAACCAAGCCCUUUUGUUUGUUCUGCACUCGUUCAUCCCUUCAGCUCGGACGUUAUUCCCUCAGACUCAGAAAUGUGUGUUACCGUAUCCAACAAUCAGACCCAUAAAGAUGUACAAGGAAAGUUACGGGUCGGCAGCAAGGAGAGACUGACUUUCUUUGGACAAGUUCGGCUGAACUCUCUGCACUCUUGUCACCAUAUGAUUCAAGUCAGAGGAAACUACACCCAUCAG